GGUUUGUGGCUUAGUGGUAGAGCACUUGCCUCACAUGUGUGAGGCACUGGGUUCAAUUCUCAGCACCA
rnacentral:tRNA from 1 species